rnacentral:rRNA from 1 species
GGGUUGUGAGGUUAAGCGACUAAGCGUACACGGUGGAUGCCCUGGCAGUCAGAGGCGAUGAAGGACGUGCUAAUCUGCGAUAAGCGUCGGUAAGGUGAUAUGAACCGUUAUAACCGGCGAUUUCCGAAUGGGGAAACCCAGUGUGAUUCGUCACACUAUCAUUAACUGAAUCCAUAGGUUAAUGAGGCGAACCGGGGGAACUGAAACAUCUAAGUACCCCGAGGAAAAGAAAUCAACCGAGAUUCCCCCAGUAGCGGCGAGCGNNNNNNNNNNNNNNNNNNNNNNNNNNNNNNNNNNNNNNNNNNNCCAUCCUCCAAGGCUAAAUACUCCUGACUGACCGAUAGUGAACCAGUACCGUGAGGGAAAGGCGAAAAGAACCCCGGCGAGGGGAGUGAAAAAGAACCUGAAACCGUGUACGUACAAGCAGUGGGAGCACGCUUAGGCGUGUGACUGCGUACCUUUUGUAUAAUGGGUCAGCGACUUAUAUUCUGUAGCAAGGUUAACCGAAUAGGGGAGCCGAAGGGAAACCGAGUCUUAACUGGGCGUUAAGUUGCAGGGUAUAGACCCGAAACCCGGUGAUCUAGCCAUGGGCAGGUUGAAGGUUGGGUAACACUAACUGGAGGACCGAACCGACUAAUGUUGAAAAAUUAGCGGAUGACUUGUGGCUGGGGGUGAAAGGCCAAUCAAACCGGGAGAUAGCUGGUUCUCCCCGAAAGCUAUUUAGGUAGCGCCUCGUGAAUUCAUCUCCGGGGGUAGAGCACUGUUUCGGCAAGGGGGUCAUCCCGACUUACCAACCCGAUGCAAACUGCGAAUACCGGAGAAUGUUAUCACGGGAGACACACGGCGGGUGCUAACGUCCGUCGUGAAGAGGGAAACAACCCAGACCGCCAGCUAAGGUCCCAAAGUCAUGGUUAAGUGGGAAACGAUGUGGGAAGGCCCAGACAGCCAGGAUGUUGGCUUAGAAGCAGCCAUCAUUUAAAGAAAGCGUAAUAGCUCACUGGUCGAGUCGGCCUGCGCGGAAGAUGUAACGGGGCUAAACCAUGCACCGAAGCUGCGGCAGCGACGCUUAUGCGUUGUUGGGUAGGGGAGCGUUCUGUAAGCCUGCGAAGGUGUGCUGUGAGGCAUGCUGGAGGUAUCAGAAGUGCGAAUGCUGACAUAAGUAACGAUAAAGCGGGUGAAAAGCCCGCUCGCCGGAAGACCAAGGGUUCCUGUCCAACGUUAAUCGGGGCAGGGUGAGUCGACCCCUAAGGCGAGGCCGAAAGGCGUAGUCGAUGGGAAACAGGUUAAUAUUCCUGUACUUGGUGUUACUGCGAAGGGGGGACGGAGAAGGCUAUGUUGGCCGGGCGACGGUUGUCCCGGUUUAAGCGUGUAGGCUGGUUUUCCAGGCAAAUCCGGAAAAUCAAGGCUGAGGCGUGAUGACGAGGCACUACGGUGCUGAAGCAACAAAUGCCCUGCUUCCAGGAAAAGCCUCUAAGCAUCAGGUAACAUCAAAUCGUACCCCAAACCGACACAGGUGGUCAGGUAGAGAAUACCAAGGCGCUUGAGAGAACUCGGGUGAAGGAACUAGGCAAAAUGGUGCCGUAACUUCGGGAGAAGGCACGCUGAUAUGUAGGUGAAGUCCCUUGCGGAUGGAGCUGAAAUCAGUCGAAGAUACCAGCUGGCUGCAACUGUUUAUUAAAAACACAGCACUGUGCAAACACGAAAGUGGACGUAUACGGUGUGACGCCUGCCCGGUGCCGGAAGGUUAAUUGAUGGGGUCAGCGCAAGCGAAGCUCUUGAUCGAAGCCCCGGUAAACGGCGGCCGUAACUAUAACGGUCCUAAGGUAGCGAAAUUCCUUGUCGGGUAAGUUCCGACCUGCACGAAUGGCGUAAUGAUGGCCAGGCUGUCUCCACCCGAGACUCAGUGAAAUUGAACUCGCUGUGAAGAUGCAGUGUACCCGCGGCAAGACGGAAAGACCCCGUGAACCUUUACUAUAGCUUGACACUGAACAUUGAGCCUUGAUGUGUAGGAUAGGUGGGAGGCUUUGAAGUGUGGACGCCAGUCUGCAUGGAGCCGGCCUUGAAAUACCACCCUUUAAUGUUUGAUGUUCUAACGUGGACCCGUGAUCCGGGUUGCGGACAGUGUCUGGUGGGUAGUUUGACUGGGGCGGUCUCCUCCUAAAGAGUAACGGAGGAGCACGAAGGUUGGCUAAUCCUGGUCGGACAUCAGGAGGUUAGUGCAAUGGCAUAAGCCAGCUUGACUGCGAGCGUGACGGCGCGAGCAGGUGCGAAAGCAGGUCAUAGUGAUCCGGUGGUUCUGAAUGGAAGGGCCAUCGCUCAACGGAUAAAAGGUACUCCGGGGAUAACAGGCUGAUACCGCCCAAGAGUUCAUAUCGACGGCGGUGUUUGGCACCUCGAUGUCGGCUCAUCACAUCCUGGGGCUGAAGUAGGUCCCAAGGGUAUGGCUGUUCGCCAUUUAAAGUGGUACGCGAGCUGGGUUUAGAACGUCGUGAGACAGUUCGGUCCCUAUCUGCCGUGGGCGCUGGAGAACUGAGGGGGGCUGCUCCUAGUACGAGAGGACCGGAGUGGACGCAUCACUGGUGUUCGGGUUGUCAUGCCAAUGGCACUGCCCGGUAGCUAAAUGCGGAAGAGAUAAGUGCUGAAAGCAUCUAAGCACGAAACUUGCCCCGAGAUGAGUUCUCCCUGACCCUUUAAGGGUCCUGAAGGAACGUUGAAGACGACGACGUUGAUAGGCCGGGUGUGUAAGCGCAGCGAUGCGUUGAGCUAACCGGUACUAAUGAACCGUGAGGCUUAACCUUACAACGCCGAAG